GUCCCCGUAGCUCAGUGGACAGAGCGGCUGCCUUCUAAGCAGCGGGUCGCAGGUUCGAAUCCUGCCGGGGACGCCA
rnacentral:tRNA from 1 species